rnacentral:lncRNA from 1 species
UUUGCUUAGCUUAAACUAUUAACGAUGCUUUGAGUUGUAAUUUUAGAUAUUUUUUAUGUUGAAUUUUGAAGUUAUAGAUGCUUGUUGAAUUUGUUUAUGUAUGGUUGUGAUAAAUGUCUUAUUUUGCUGUGAAUUUUGGUCUUUUAUUCAGAGGUAUCGAUAAUUAGGUAUUUAGUAUCGAUACCUCCAUGAUAUUUUGAAUGUGGA